rnacentral:rRNA from 1 species
UACGUAGGUGGCAAGCGUUGUCCGGAUUUACUGGGCGUAAAGAGCGCGCAGGCGGUCGAUCAAGUCGCGUGUGAAAGCCCCCGGCUCAACUGGGGAGGGUCACGCGAUACUGAUCGACUCGAAGGCAGGAGAGGGUAGUGGAAUUCCCGGUGUAGUGGUGAAAUGCGUAGAUAUCGGGGAGGAACACCAGUGGCGGAAGGCGGCUACCUGGAUUGACACUGACACUGAGGCGCGAGAGCGUGGGGAGCAAACAGG